rnacentral:rRNA from 1 species
UACGUAGGGGUCUAGCGUUGUCCGGAAUUAUUGGGCGUAAAGAGCUCGUAGGCGGUUCGGCAAGUCGGAUGUGAAAUCUCCACGCUUAACGUGGAGGGGCCAUUCGAAACUGCCGUGACUCGAGUCCGGUAGGGGAGUGCGGAAUUCCCGGUGUAGUGGUGAAAUGCGUAGAUAUCGGGAGGAACACCAGUGGCGAAGGCGACUACCUGGCCUGUUCUUGACGCUGAGGCGCGAAAGCUAGGGGAGCAAACGGGG